UGCCACCAAAGACGGGACUUUACAGUUAGCGAUUUAGCCGACCUACAUGGUGUGAAGUGAGAGAAUGUCCACCGUUGAAUGUCACAGCAUGGUAUAAGAGUUUCUGACCUGAAUAAUUCCACUGACAUCGCAACGUUGGAUGCUGGAUGAUUACAGAGAUCCCAGGAUCUCCUCAAAAUUCUGGGUUCAAAAUGAUGCAAGGACAAAGGUUCAAAACUUCGUGUGCAAGAAUCCAUGCGACGUCUGGAUCCACCGGGAAUUGUCCGCACACUACAACUACAAACUGUUCGGCGUAGAAGAUAUUCUGUGCCAGCCCCCAACAGUCAAAGGCAUAUCUAUGGCAACCAUAAACUCAUAAAUUAAGGCUCUAUGUUGGGGAACUAGGAAGGAAGUACAAAAAUAAAUUAAGACCAUAUUUUUUCACCCAUUUUGGAAAGGUAAACCCGUAUAUAAUAUAAAUAUAAAUAUAUAAUAUAUAUAUAAAAAAUAUUUCAUGCUUUUAUUUUUUAUUACGC